CCGGGGCCGGGGGAAGGAAGCCAGCCGAGGAGACGCACGUGCCCUGAGUCCGGGAGCGGGGAGCCUCUUCAUCUCUCCAUCCUCCCUCCGCGCGCGCCCUCAGCCGUCCUCGUCCGCUCACCAUGCACCUCCCCCCCAAGAAAGGACCACAUGCGUGCCAGGGACGUGAGCCCCGGCCACAGGGACAUAGCAGCCUAGAAGGUGAUGCUUCGCACACUCAAGUUUGAAGAUUAACGGUCCUAGACGUCAAACCUGUUUGCAUGCCAAGUGUCGUUUUAUUUUAAAAUGUCUUCACUUUUUUUUUUUUGGUAGAGAAGGGGGUCUUACUACGUUGCCCAGGCUGGUCUUGAACUCCUGGCCUUAAGUGAUCUUCCCAGCUUGGCCUCCCAAAGUGCUGGGAUUACAGGCACGAGCCACUGCCCCCAGUCCCUUUUUUUUUUUUUUUUUUUUUUUGAGACGGAGUCUUGCUCUGUUGCCAGGCUGGAGUGCAGUGGUGCGAUCUCGGCUCACUGCAACCUCUACCUCCUGGGUCCAAGCGUUUCUCCUGCCUUAGCCUCCCGAGUAGCUGGGACUACAGGCGUGCGACACCACGCCCAGCUAAUUUUUGUAUUUUUAGUAGCGACUGGGUUUCACCAUGUUGGCCAGGAUGGUCUCGAUCUCUUGACCUCGUGAUCCGCCCACCUCGGCCCCCCAAAGUGCUGGAUUACAGACGUGA
rnacentral:lncRNA from 1 species